AAUCAACGCUGGCGGCGUGCCUAACACAUGCAAGUCGAACGAGAAAGUGGAGCAAUCCAUGAGUAAAGUGGCGACCGGGUGAGUAACACGUGACUAACCUACCUCCGAGUGGGGAAUAACUCCGGGAAACCGGGGCUAAUACCGCAUAACAUCGCAAGAUCAAAGCAGCAAUGCGCUUGGAGAGGGGGUCGCGGCUGAUU
rnacentral:rRNA from 1 species